rnacentral:rRNA from 1 species
UGAGGGAAUAUUUGGGUCAAUGGACGAGAGUCUGAACCAGCCAAGUAGCGUGCAGGAUGACGGCCCUAUGGGUUGUAAACUGCUUUUAUAAGGGAAUAAAGUGAGCCUCGUGAGGCUUUUUGCAUGUACCUUAUGAAUAAGGACCGGCUAAUUCCGUGCCAGCAGCCGCGGUAAUACGGAAGGUCCGGGCGUUAUCCGGAUUUAUUGGGUUUAAAGGGAGCGUAGGCUGUCCUUUAAGCGUGUUGUGAAAUGUAGGCGCUCAACGCCUGCACUGCAGCGCGAACUGAAGGACUUGAGUGUGCACGACGCUGGCGGAAUUCGUGGUGUAGCGGUGA